GAAGAACGUAGUGAAAUGCGAUAAGUAAUGUGAAUUGCAGAAUUCAGUGAAUCAUCGAAUCUUUGAACGCACAUUGCGCCCGCUAGUAUUCUGGCGGGCAUGCCUGUCCGAGCGUCAUUUCAACCCUCAAGCCCCCGGGCUUGGUGUUGGGGAUCGGCGAGCCUCCGCGCCCGCCGUCCCCUAAAUCUAGUGGCGGUCUCGCUGUAGCUUCCUCUGCGUAGUAGCACACCUCGCACUGGGAAACAGCGCGGCCACGCCGUUAAACCCCCAACUUCUGAACGUUUGACCUCGGAUCAGGUAGGAAUACCCGCUGAACUUAAGCAUAUCAAUAAGCGGAGGA
rnacentral:misc_RNA from 1 species